rnacentral:rRNA from 1 species
AACGAACGCUGGCGGCAGGCUUAACACAUGCAAGUCGAACGCACCGCAAGGUGAGUGGCAGACGGGUGAGUAACACGUGGGGAUCUGCCCAAUGGUACGGAAUAGCUCCGGGAAACUGGAAUUAAUACCGUAUGAGCCCGCAAGGGGAAAGAUUUAUCGCCAUUGGAUGAACCCGCGUCGGAUUAGCUAGUUGGUGUGGUAAAGGCGCACCAAGGCGACGAUCCGUAGCUGGUCUGAGAGGAUGAUCAGCCACACGGGGACUGAGACACGGCCCAGACUCCUACGGGAGGCAGCAGUGGGGAAUAUUGGACAAUGGGCGCAAGCCUGAUCCAGCCAUGCCGCGUGAGUGAUGAAGGCCUUAGGGUUGUAAAGCUCUUUCGCCGACGAAGAUAAUGACGGUAGUCGGAGAAGAAGCCCCGGCUAACUUCGUGCCAGCCGCCGCUGUAAUAC